GAUGAACGCUGGCGGCGUGCCUAAUACAUGCAAGUCGAGCGAACGGACGAGAAGCUUGCUUCUCUGAUGUUAGCGGCGGACGGGUGAGUAACACGUGGAUAACCUACCUAUAAGACUAGGAUAACUUCGGGAAACCGUAGCUAAUACCGGAUAAUAUUUUGAACCGCAUGGUUCAAAAGUGAAAGACGGUCUUGCUGUCACUUAUAGAUGGAUCCGCGCUGCAUUAGCUAGUUGGUAAGGUAACGGCUUACCAAGGCAACGAUGCAUAGCCGACCUGAGAGGGUGAUCGGCCACACGGGAACUGAGACACGGUCCAGACUCCUACGGGAGGCAGCAGUAGGGAAUCUUCCGCAAUGGGCGAAAGCCUGACGGAGCAACGCCGCGUGAGUGAUGAAGGUCUUCGGAUCGUAAAACUCUGUUAUUAGGGAAGAACAUAUGUGUAAGUAACUGUGCACAUCUUGACGGUACCUAAUCAGAAAGCCACGGCUAACUACGUG
rnacentral:rRNA from 1 species